rnacentral:tRNA from 1 species
GCCCGGGUGGUGGAAUUGGUAUACACGAGGGACUUAAAAUCCCUUGGGAGCAAUCCCUUGCGAGUUCGAGUCUCGCCCCGGGCA